rnacentral:rRNA from 1 species
CCAUCCUCCAAGGCUAAAUACUCCUGACUGACCGAUAGUGAACCAGUACCGUGAGGGAAAGGCGAAAAGAACCCCGGCGAGGGGAGGGAAAAAGAACCUGAAACCGUGUACGUACAAGCAGUGGGAGCACCUUCGGGUGUGACUGCGUACCUUUUGUAUAAUGGGUCAGCGACUUAUAUUCUGUAGCAAGGUUAACCGUAUAGGGGAGCCGCAGGGAAACCGAGUCUUAACUGGGCGUUAAGUUGCAGGGUAUAGACCCGAAACCCGGUGAUCUAGCCAUGGGCAGGUUGAAGGUUGGGUAACACUAACUGGAGGACCGAACCGACUAAUGUUGAAAAAUUAGCGGAUGACUUGUGGCUGGGGGUGAAAGGCCAAUCAAACCGGGAGAUAGCUGGUUCUCCCCGAAAGCUAUUUAGGUAGCGCCUC